rnacentral:rRNA from 1 species
AACGAACGCUGGCGGCAUGCCUAACACAUGCAAGUCGAACGAGACCUUCGGGUCUAGUGUCGCACGGGUGCGUAACGCGUGGGAACCUUCCCUUAUGUUCGGAAUAACUCCCCGAAAGGGGUGCUAAUACCGGAUAAUGUCUUCGGACCAAAGAUUUAUCGCCUUUGGAUGGUCCCUCGUUGUAUUAGCUAGUUGGUAGGGUAAAAGCCUGACAAGGCGCCGAUGGGUAGCUUGCCUGAGAGGGGGAUCAGCCACACUGGGACUGAGACACGGCCCACACUCCUGGGGGAGGGACCAGGAGCGAAUCUUCCGGGAUGGGCGAAGGCGGGACGGUGCAACGCCGGGCGAAUGAUGAAGGCCGUCAGGCCGGAGAACUCUGUAAGGAUUUAAGAUGAAAAAUUUAUUUUACCGGGCACGUCAUGACGGUACCUGGGCAGAAAGCCACGGCUAACUACGUG